rnacentral:rRNA from 1 species
UACCAGCACCCCGAGUGGUCGGGACGAUUAUUGGGCCUAAAGCAUCCGUCGCCGGUCCUACAAGUCUUCCGUUAAAUCCACCUGCUUAACAGAUGGGCUGCGGAAGAUACUAUAGGGCUAGGAGGCGGGAGAGGCAAGCGGUACUCAGUGGGUAGGGGUAAAAUCCUCUGAUCCAUUGAAGACCACCAGUGGCGAAGGCGGCUUGCCAGAACGCGCUCGACGGUGAGGGAUGAAAGCUGGGGGAGCAAACCGG